rnacentral:rRNA from 1 species
UACGUAGGGUGCGAGCGUUGUCCGGAAUUAUUGGGCGUAAAGAGCUCGUAGGCGGUUUGUUGCGUCUAUCGUGAAAACCUGCAGCUUAACUGUGGGCUUGCGGUGGAUACGGGCAGACUUGAGUUCGGUAGGGGGGACUGGAAUUCCUGGUGUAGCGGUGAAAUGCGCAGAUAUCAGGAGGAACACCGAUGGCGAAGGCGGGUCUCUGGACCGGUACUGACGCUGAUGAACGAAAGCGUGGGGAGCAAACAGG